GUAAAAAUCUUAAAAUUCGGGUGAUCGGCUGUCCAAAAACCAUUGAUGGUGACUUGAAGUGCAAAGAGAUUCCCACAAGCUUUGGAUUUGAUACAGUGUGCAGGAUAUAUGCUGAAAUGAUUGGAAAUGUUAUGAUAGAUGCCGGUCAACUGGAAAAUAUUAUCAUUUUGUACAGCUUACGGGGUGUGCCACUUCACAUAUUACUCUUGAGUGUGCAUUGCAAACUCAACCAAACAUUACCAUUAUUGGAGAAGAGGUAACUUUUUGUGUUCUCGCAAAACUAAAUGACUUGCUUGGUUAAGAUUCUCAUGUUUUUAAUAAACUUCUUGCAGCUCUAGCAUUAUGACAUUUUCUUUAUCUUUAUGAACAAUUAGUGGAAUUAUGUAUCUCUGGCACAACCGUGAUAAGUUUUUUGGACUUUAUCUUCCUAUCCCCAGUCACUGAGAAAAUCAAGUGAAAAGCUCGUUUCUUGGCCACUGUUUGAAGCAAUAGAACACAUGCACACUGGCAUCACUUUCCAUGGAUAUUCCAUUGUGUUUCUAUUGAAUGAAAAUGCAUAACAGGUCAAAUAUAUUCAGAGAUACUUCAUAGAUUUAAGCACCUGACAUUUUUAAACAAUUUAGCAAAUGUAAGAAAGAUCUGUAGUUUAUGA